AGGCCUGGGCAUGCGGCGGCCACAGGCGCUGCUCCCCGCGCGGCCUCGCAGAGCGGGCGCCUGGCGCUGCUCAUCUGGGCACCGGACAAGUUUGCUCUCCCCUUUCGAACUCAGAGGCAGCCUCAGAGUUAUUGAGCCAGAGAGAGAGAGAGAGAGAGAAAGAGAGAGCAAAGAAGAAAGUUCUCAGAGUACAAAUAAACUGGAAAGCGCUCAGGAGGCGGCGAGCUUACCUUAACUCGGAGGGAGCCAUUUUUCAGAGAGUUUUGAGAACUUGUGGUUUGGACACUUCUGGACCUAAAAUUGACAGUUUGAAUGACCAGGCGGCACACGUAGCCUGCAAAAGAGUCAAAUGGAGUCCAGCGUCAGUGAGAUUAUAUGUUAUGUGGUAUAUAAUGUUGGAUGUCAACUCCCCAAAACCAUAAAACUUACUUUAAUGGCCCCACGUGACGUUUUAUAGCCAGUGAGCCGAUCUGUCUGUGCUAUGGAUGAUUUUACGAUCUAAUUCAUAGACAAAACCCUAUUCAUUUGGCACCCAAAUGUCAUAUAGCCGGAACUGGGGCUUAUAAAGUUUACUGUUUUAUAACUUUAAAAAGGCAAGACGGCAUCAGUGUAAGCAGUCGGUAAAUGUGCAAAUCUCUAGUUGCGCGCUUUAGCCGCUCUGAGGAGUUUCCCAAUCGAGCUAGGAUGGGAAUUCCACCCACGCAUUAGUCCCUCUCGCGCGCUUCAGACACCUCUCAUCGGAAAGCCGGGCAGAGAGAAGCAGGCCGCCCGCGGAGCACUCUGGCUGAAUUAAUGGCGGCUCCCAGAAGCUCCUGCCCCUCUGACAGCUGUCGCUUGGGCAGCCGAGAGAUGAACUGUCCUCCUUCCUGGUGCCAGAGGACGCAGGAAAUUAGCCAGGUUGCGAGUCGCGAAGCUGCCGGCGCGGCUCCGGGGACUGGGCGCGCCCCACCUCCAGCGGGAGCCGCCAGGCCCGGCCUGGCCAGGGCUUCCCCUCGCUCGCCAUCGCCGGACAAAGCGCAGCCGAGCCGGGCUGGAAGGCAGAGCUCCGAAGCAGGCAGGACGGAGCGGAGCAAAAGAAUGCGGCUCUAUUCUCGCAAGGGAAAUUAUAAAAAAGUUCAUGUUCACGGUUCCCAUCCACAUGACCGACAGCGGCCAAUGGAAGGGCCGAACAACUCAUAAAGUUGUAUUGCAAAGUUGUAAAUUUUCAUAAACAACAACGGAUUU